AGAGAGAGAGAGGCCAACAAUUGUACAAAGUUAUAUUAGCAUUCAACCAUAGCUUGUCAGGCUAAAUUGAAGCCAUUUCUGUCGCCGGGGAGGUCACAGCUGCUGUUCUAUGUUCCGAAGAUUUGACGGAUCAAACCCAGGAAAUUUCCAUCGCGAGACUCUGACCAAGGAGUGACUAAGACGCGAAAUUUCCGAUUGGAUUGGGUAUUUGCUAACGUCCGCAUUCUCAACUUAGACGAAUGCUGAGGGCUGCGUUUCAUAGCCUGAGCUCACAACAACGAGACGACGGGUUCUUCUUCUUCUCCCUGUUCAAACACCGAAGCGAAGACUAUUAGGCUGCCGGAGAAAUGCACAUUGUUUUAGAGCAUGGGAUACGGAACCGGAUCGACAGAAGACUCCUGCAUGUAGAUUUUUGAUAGGAGAAAGCCGCUGAGUCUGGUGUAAAGCAGAGUCAGACUAUAUCUCUGGUGGAUCAACAACAUGGGGAGACCCACCUAUGGAGUCCGGCGGCGGGGUGGACCUAUUCCCUUCGGAUCUUGCCGGUGAUUCAUCGGCGGUGGACUGGGGAUUCCGCCGCGCUGCCGGCGAGGAGCUGCACGAUUCCCGGGGCUAGAUGAGGCGGUUGUUUGGUCAAAUGUCGGCGAGUUUGUC
rnacentral:lncRNA from 1 species